rnacentral:rRNA from 1 species
GAGUUUGAUCAUGGCUCAGGAUGAACGCUAGCGACAGGCUUAACACAUGCAAGUCGAGGGGCAGCGGGUAGAUGAGCUUGCUCAUUUAUGCCGGCGACCGGCGCACGGGUGAGUAACACGUAUGCAACCUGCCCGUCUCAGGGGGAUAAUCGUCGGAAACGGCGUCUAAUACCCCGUAUGAAGCUGGACGGCAUCGUCUGGUUUUGAAAGAAUAUCGGAGACGGAUGGGCAUGCGGCGCAUUAGCUAGUUGGCGGGGUAACGGCCCACCAAGGCGGCGAUGCGUAGGGGUUCUGAGAGGAAGGUCCCCCACACUGGUACUGAGACACGGACCAGACUCCUACGGGAGGCAGCAGUGAGGAAUAUUGGUCAAUGGGCGAGAGCCUGAACCAGCCAAGUCGCGUGAGGGAGUACUGCCCUAUGGGUUGUAAACCUCUUUUGUCGGGGAGCAAAAGCCGGACGUGUCCGGCUGUGAGAGUACCCGAAGAAAAAGCAUCGGCUAACUCCGUGCCAGCAGCCGCGGUAAUACGGAGGAUGCGAGCGUUAUCCGGAUUUAUUGGGUUUAAAGGGUGCGCAGGCGGAUUUUUAAGUCAGCGGUCAAAUCGUGGGGCUCAACCCCAUCCAGCCGUUGAAACUGGGGAUCUAGAGUGUGCGAGAGGUAUGCGGAAUGCGUGGUGUAGCGGUGAAAUGCAUAGAUAUCACGCAGAACCCCGAUUGCGAAGGCAGCAUACCGGUGCACAACUGACGCUCAGGCACGAAAGCGUGGGUAUCGAACAGGAUUAGAUACCCUGGUAGUCCACGCAGUAAACGAUGAAUGCUACCUGUUUGGCCAGAUUGAAGGCUGAGCGGGACAGCGAAAGCGUUAAGCAUUCCACCUGGGGAGUACGCCGGCAACGGUGAAACUCAAAGGAAUUGACGG